rnacentral:rRNA from 1 species
AAUUUGAAAUCUGGCCCUUUCGGGGUCCGAGUUGUAAUUUGUAGAGAGUGCUUCGGGGGAGACCGCGGUCUAAGUCCAUUGGAACAUGGCGUCACAGAGGGUGAGAAUCCCGUAUGUGACCGUGGCUCGAACCCAUGUGAAGCCUCUUCGACGAGUCGAGUUGUUUGGGAAUGCAGCUCAAAAUGGGUGGUAAAUUUCAUCUAAAGCUAAAUACUGGCUGGAGACCGAUAGCGCACAAGUAGAGUGAUCGAAAGAUGAAAAGCACUUUGGAAAGAGAGUUAAAAAGUACGUGAAAUUGUUGAAAGGGAAGCGCUGGCAACCAGACCUGCCCGUAGGCGAUCAGCCGCUGUUCUCAGCGGUGCACUCGCUCUGCGAUCAGGCCAGCAUCGGUUCCAGCGGUCGGAUAAAGGCCUUGGGAAUGUACCUUCCCUUCGGGGGAGUCUUAUAGCCCUCGGUGCAAUGCGGCCAGCCGGGACCGAGGACCGCGCUUCGGCUAGGAUGCUGGCGUAAUGGUUGUC